rnacentral:misc_RNA from 1 species
GAUGAAGAACGCAGCGAAAUGCGAUAAGUAGUGUGAAUUGCAGAAUUCAGUGAAUCAUCGAAUCUUUGAACGCACAUUGCGCCCCUUGGUAUUCCAUGGGGCAUGCCUGUUCGAGCGUCAUUUGUACCUUCAAGCUCUGCUUGGUGUUGGGUGUUUGUCCUUGCUCUAGUGGCGGGACUCGCCUUAAAGUAAUUGGCAGCCAGUGUUUUGGUUUUGAAGCGCAGCACAAGUCGCGAUUCAAGUCUAUACGCUAGUUUCCACAAGUCUUUUAUCACUUUUGACCUCGGAUCAGGUAGGGAUACCCGCUGAACUUAAGCAUAUCAAUAAGCGGAGG